GUUAAUCGUGCUUAAGGGAGUUGCCCUAUUUGUUCCGAGAAAGCCAUAAAGCAGUCGCGUUACUUCUGCAGACUCUGCGUGUUAAACGAGGACAGCCUGGUAACUAGAGCCUGCAAAGCCUCCUGCCUCCAACACCUACAGCACUUGGCACUGAGCUGGGGGAGCCCCAGCUGGGGGGGCAUCCUCGCCCGCUGCCAGGGGACAGGUGCUCCACGACAAACUUACAGCUUUCCUAGCAAAGCCAGCUUGAAUUCAUUUUUCAACCACUCCCUGCCCUGAACAGCUCUGAAGUCUGCAGCCCCAGCUGGAGCCUGGGUGCCCGUGCUGGACCAGAAGGUAGCAAUCUCUGGCCUGCUGACAUUUCCUGCUCCAUCCCCUCAUAACCAGACUUCGCCUUUUACAUUAUGGGCUGAUGAAAGGCAGAGGGAUGAUGCUUGCAGUAAACGAAAAGGUUAAAGUGUCUCUAGGACUACUAUCAUUCUGCUGCACCAUGACUUCCUGAAUUUGCAAGUGUCAUUACAAUUUAAUGACAGGAGAAGAGUUUAUUUUGGGGGGAAGAAGUUGUUUUGGACUAUGUGAAAGAAAUUAAUUUUGAUUUGUGUUGGGUCGGGUCAAAGAGGUGCUUUUGUGAAAUACUGGGCGGGAGGGCUUAGUCUUGGGGUGGGCUACAUUUUAUUCAUUUAUUUAUUCAUUUAUUCACAAUGAACAUUUUAUACAGCUACAUUUUAUUGUGGGAGAAGGGUAGAUUAUCUUUGAUUACGGGGAAGUUGGUUAUACCUGGUAAAAGAAGGUUGGAUUAGGAAUGAUUACGGGGAAAUUGGUUAUACCUGGUAAAAGAAGGUUGGAUUAGGAAUGAUUCUGAAUAGAAAAGUAAGAACUAUUUUACCUAAAGAAGGAAUUUCACUGUACGUCUACGUGGGCUGACUACUGACAUAAAAAAGUGGUUGGGUUUUGACUAGAAGCAAAAGGAGAUGGGAGAGACUGUAGGGAAGACCAUGCAGAAGCAUCAAGAAAAGACAAUGUUUUCCUUUCUCCUCUCAAACUGGACUUUACUGGUGGUAUCUGCAUUUGAAAUUUGAAAAGCAGGCAAUUCCCAGGGUUGCCAAAGGGAAGAGGCACCCUUGCAAAUCAAACCUUGAAUAAGCACCUGUAACAAAAAGAAGGCCAUGAGACCGACUUCAAUAGUCCAUAUAUGAGAAAUCUUGAGUUUGUGAAUCCUCAAAACACGCUCUCAGUGAGGAAAUAUUAUCAGGCUGAAAAAGUUCAUUUAUAGAGAAUGGGGAUAUAUGCAAAGCCAACAGAGACAUUCGGAGUGGUUACAACAGACAGCAGAAGUCAGGAGGCAGUAACUGCACACAGAGAACUUCAGUGAUCAGGGUCAGUAUAGGGCAUCUGUGGACUUGGCCACAAAGUUUCAGUUUUGGUGUAAAUUCUUUAGUUUGGGAGUGCUGAGACAUGGUCUCUUGUUGGUUCACAUAAUUAUAGAAUGAACAGCUGUGAAGUUUUUAUUUGGAUUAAAAUUUCCCCGGAACUCAAGGUAAUUUAGAUCUGAGCUUUUGGCUCCAGUCCCUUCCCAGCUUGUACUCAAUAUAAAUUACUGCCCUAGAACCAUGACAUGUUCAAUUUAUCCUCCAUUUUAGAUGGCUGAAAAGUGCAUGCAUAAUUCUGUGCAUACCACACUUUCUGUAAUCUACUGUGACAAAUAGACCAAAUGACUGAAACUGCUAGGUAAGACACUUUAUUUCAGUCAAAACCCCACACCCAGCCUUAGUUUAAAUACCAGGCAAAAAUGACAUUUGAAUUAUUUGAUUUGAAUCAAUGCCAAAUUCAAUCUUAUGCAAACUCAGAAAGAGAGAGGGAAAAAAAGUCUUGGAAUAAACCCAGUGAUUUAUGCGUGGGAACAUAAGGCAAUAACAAGCAGCAAUCGAUUCAAUUGUAAUGACAGGAGUGGACCACCACGAAAAAUCUGACAACUUUUCAUUGGAGCUACUGUGACUGAGGGAUUGGGAACAGGGUGGUAUUUUUACACAUGGAUAAUGACUACAAGAAAAGUAGACUCGGGGACCAGCAUUCCCAAUUCCACCUUCUAUCAAAAACGCUGGUCAAGGUCUGUAUGCCGUGCUCCACUCACACUGCUGUGAGGUUCUCCACUGCCCAGUACAAUGGAAGACGACAAUUAUUCCCAUUCUGCAGAGAAAAAUAGAAAAUAGUUACAUCACACCUGUCUGAGAGAAAUAUAUAUAUUUUCAUGAUCUAAUUCCAAAUAACUAUGUUAAACUAAGAGCUGUAUCCAGAAAUGAUGAACCUUGGUGC